GGGAUUUAAUGUAAAGUUUUUCCAGUGAAACAAAACGUAAGAAUCUGAGUUUGUUUUUCAAAGAUCACUAAAUUUUAGUUAUGAUUAUAUCACAUUUUCCAAAAUGUGUGGCAGUUUUUGCCCUCCUUGCUCUGAGUGUUGGUGCACUGGACACUUUUAUUGCUGCAGUAUAUGAGCAUGCGGUGAUAUUACCAAACAGAACAGAAACACCUGUUUCAAAAGAAGAAGCUUUGCUCCUGAUGAACAAGAACAUAGAUGUUUUGGAGAAAGCAGUUAAGCUGGCAGCGAAGCAGGGUGCACAUAUCAUUGUGACCCCAGAAGAUGGAAUCUAUGGUUGGAUCUUCACCAGGGAGAGCAUUUACCCCUAUCUAGAGGAUAUACCAGACCCUGGAGUGAACUGGAUUCCAUGUAGAGACCCCUGGAGGGAGUGGAAUCUACGCCCCAGAAGCAGUCAAGGUGUACCACUAUGACAUGGAAACAGAGAGUGGUCAGCUGUUGCUAUCAGAACUGAAGUCUCGGCCCCGCCGUGAGCCCACCUACCCUGCAGCUGUUGACUGGCAUGCGUAUGCCAGCAGUGUCAAGCCAUUUUCCUCUGAACAGUCAGAUUUUCUGGGGAUGAUUUAUUUUGAUGAGUUUACCUUCACCAAGCUUAAGAGAAAUACAGGAAAUUACACAGCUUGCCAGAAAGAUCUGUGUUGUCACUUAACUUACAAGAUGUCUGAGAAGCGAACAGACGAGAUCUAUGCCCUAGGUGCUUUUGAUGGACUGCACACAGUAGAAGGCCAAUAUUACUUACAGAUAUGUGCAUUACUGAAGUGUCAAACCACUGACCUGGAAACGUGUGGAGAACCUGUGGGGUCAGCUUUUACCAAGUUUGAAGACUUCUCCCUCAGUGGCACAUUUGGAACGCGUUAUGUUUUCCCACAGAUCAUUCUAAGUGGGAGUCAGCUUGCCCCUGAAAGACAUUAUGAGAUUUCAAGAGAUGGACGCUUGAGGAGCCGAAGUGGAGCCCCUUUGCCUGUCUUAGUUAUGGCCCUGUAUGGAAGAGUGUUUGAGAAGGACCCUCCACGCUUAGGGCAGGGAUCUGGGAAAUUCCAGUGAUCUCCUUUAGCAGAGCCCUUUUAGGAUUAGCCUGGCUAAGAAAGGAAGAAAAAAAAGAGAUCCGUUAGUGUCUGUUUAGAAAAGAUGUUAUAAACUUACAGAAACAAAUAUAAUAAACUGAAGCAGAUUUGAAAAGCAACAA
ensembl:lncRNA VNN3P vanin 3, pseudogene